rnacentral:rRNA from 1 species
UACGGGAGGCAGCAGUGGGGAAUAUUGCGCAAUGGGCGAAAGCCUGACGCAGCGACGCCGCGUGAGGGAUGAAGGCCUUCGGGUUGUAAACCUCUUUCAGCAGGGAAGAAGCGAAAGUGACGGUACCUGCAGAAGAAGCACCGGCUAACUACGUGCCAGCAGCCGCGGUAAUACGUAGGGUGCAAGCGUUGUCCGGAAUUAUUGGGCGUAAAGAGCUCGUAGGCGGUCUGUCGCGUCUGCUGUGAAAACUCGGGGCUUAACCCCGGGCCUGCAGUGGGUACGGGCAGACUAGAGUGCGGUAGGGGAGACUGGAAUUCCUGGUGUAGCGGUGAAAUGCGCAGAUAUCAGGAGGAACACCGGUGGCGAAGGCGGGUCUCUGGGCCGUAACUGACGCUGAGGAGCGAAAGCGUGGGGAGCGAACAGGAUUAGAUACCCUGGUAG